AGUGGACGCUGGCGGUAGGCCUAACACAUGCAAGUCGAACGGCGGCACAGUAAGAGCUUGCUCUUACGGGUGGCGAGUGGCGGACGGGUGAGGGAUACAUCGGAAUCUACUUUUUCGUGGGGGAUAACGUAGGGAAACUUACGCUAAUACCGCAUACGACCUACGGGUGAAAGCAGGGGAUCUUCGGACCUUGCGCGAUUGAAUGAGCCGAUAUCGGAUUAGCUAGUUGGCGGGGUAAAGGCCCACCAAGGCGACGAUCCGUAGCUGGUCUGAGAGGAUGAUCAGCCACACUGGAACUGAGACACGGUCCAGACUCCUACGGGAGGCAGCAGUGGGGAAUAUUGGACAAUGGGCGCAAGCCUGAUCCAGCCAUACCGCGUGGGUGAAGAAGGCCUUCGGGUUGUAAAGCCCUUUUGUUGGGAAAGAAAAGCAGCAGGUUAAUACCCCGCUGUUCUGACGGUACCCAAAGAAUAAGCACCGGCUAACUUCGUG
rnacentral:rRNA from 1 species